UUUCUUUUUGCCGCGUCACAUCAAUCAUUGUCACGUCACGUCAUUCAUUUUUUCCAUCCCGUGAGUUCGGCCGGCCGGUGAAUUAUUGAUGCAGGAUGCAUGCACGUUGGCCUGCGGAGAGCUAAAUAAAUUGAGGUCGCGAAGAAGAGAGCAGCAGCAGAGCAGAGAAGGGAGCAAGGAAUGCAAGGAGCGGCAGAGGAGCAGCAUCUCGAGUAGAGAAAGCAGCAGAAGAGUAGCAACGCGAGCAGCAGCAGCGGCAGUUUAAUACUUCGAGAUCACUCACUUUCGUACCGCCUUAAAUCAUUAUCAUGGCUCAUGGUGGUCUUCCCGAGCUUCUUCAGCAGCGGUACGACGAGAACCAUAGGGGAAGGAUGAUAUUCACAGGACAGCAGUUGGGUCCGUUACGAGCCCGGAGUGUGCACAAGAUUAAGGAGUUGGACCCUCGAUUCCACGAGCCACUCGCACGGGCGGGACUACUACCUUUCGCUCUCAUGAUGGCCGGAGCUCCCAUGGAGGUCGGUGGUAGGACACCUCUGCCGGCGAUUGAUGAGGCACUGCUCACAGGUCUCAUCGACCGGUGGCGUCCUGAGACGCACACGUUCCACUUUCCUUUUGGCGAGAUGGCUGUAACAUUGAGGGACGUGGCCAUGCUGACCGGGCUACCAAUCAGGGGCGCCCCGUUAAUAGUUUCGCGACCCGCAAGGGAGGAGUGGAAGGGUUAUGUUGCGGAUAGGUAAUUAUUUGUUAUGUAAUGCACUUCAAA